rnacentral:rRNA from 1 species
AAUGGGGGCAACCCUGAUCCAGCAAUGCCGCGUGAGUGAUGAAGGCCUUAGGGUUGUAAAGCUCUUUCGGGUGGGACGAUGAUGACGGUACCACCAGAAGAAGCCCCGGCUAACUUCGUGUCAGCAGCCGCGGUAAUACGAAGGGGGCUAGCGUUGUUCGGAAUUACUGGGCGUAAAGCGCACGCAGGCGGCGCGUUAAAUUAGGAGUGAAAGCCCCGGGCUCAACCUGGGAAUAGCUUUUAAGACUGGCGCGCUUGAAUCCGGAAGAGGGCAGUGGAAUUCCAAGUGUAGAGGUGAAAUUCGUAGAUAUUUGGAAGAACACCAGUGGCGAAGGCGACUGCCUGGUCCGGCAUUGACGCUCAUGUGCGAAAGCGUGGGGAGCAAA